rnacentral:sRNA from 1 species
GUCAAAUAGUCCGUGUCGGCAAGAUGGAUCUUAAGGAUACUGGUGCAAAGAAGUGCACACAGGGACUGAGGAGGCCGUUUGGGGUGGCAGUUAUGGAUAUAACAGACAUCAUCAAGGGGAAAGCAGAGAGUGAUGAAGAAAAGCAGCACUUCAUUCCUUUUCACCCGGUUACAGCUGAGAAUGACUUCCUACACAGCCUGCUGGGCAAAGUCAUAGCCUCCAAGGGGGACAGUGGAGGGCAAGGCCUCUGGGUGACCAUGAAGAUGCUGGUGGGUGACAUCAUUCAGAUUCGCAAGGACUAUCCACACCUGGUGGACAGGACCACCGUGGUGGCCAGGAAGCUGGGCUUCCCAGAGAUCAUCAUGCCAGGGGAUGUCAGGAACGACAUCUACAUUACUCUCUUACAAGGUGACUUUGACAAGUACAACAAGACCACACAGAGGAAUGUGGAAGUCAUCAUGUGUGUGUGCGCGGAGGACGGCAAAACGCUGCCUGUAAGGGACUCACUGCUGCUCUGGGUGACAGGGUCCCCCUUGGGGGCCUCUGCUCGUAAAGAUGUACUUUUCCUCUCCCUCAUUCUGUUGUCUAAAUGCCAGGUGCCUUUGGGAUGGUGUUGAAUAAUGUGAUCUACACCUUUUGAGCUUGGUUAGCUCAGUGUUCCAUAAUAAGACCUUGUGAUAUUUCCUUACA